rnacentral:rRNA from 1 species
GUUAGGAAUAUUGGACAAUGGGCGCAAGCCUGAUCCAGCCAUGCCGCGUGAGUGAUGAAGGCCUUCGGGUUGUAAAGCUCUUUAGCCGAUGAUUAUAAUGACUGUAGUCGGAAAAUAAGCCCCGGCUAACUUCGUGCCAGCAGCCGCGGUAAUACGAAGGGGGCGAGUGUUAUUCGGAAUCACUGGGCGUAAAGCGUGCGUAGGCGGGUUUGCAAGUUGGGAGUGAAAGCCCAGGGCUCAACCCUGGAAUUGCUCUCAAAACUGCAAGGCUCGAAUUCGGGAGAGGAUAGCGGAAUUGUCAGUGUAGCAGUGAAAUGCGUAGAUAUUGACAGGAACACCAGUGGCGUAAGCGGCUAUCUGGACCGAUAUUGACGCUGAGGCACGAAAGCGUGGGGAUCAAACAGGAUUAGAUACCCCAGUAGUCC